rnacentral:rRNA from 1 species
UACGAAGGGUGCAAGCGUUAAUCGGAAUUACUGGGCGUAAAGGGUGCGUAGGCGGUUCGUUAAGUCUGUCGUGAAAUCCCCGGGCUCAACCUGGGAAUGGCGAUGGAUACUGGCGAGCUAGAGUGUGUCAGAGGAUGGUGGGAUUCCCGGUGUAGCGGUGAAAUGCGUAGAGAUCGGGAGGAACAUCAGUGGCGAAGGCGGCGAUCUGGGACAACACUGACGCUGAAGCACGAAAGCGUGGGGAGCAAACAGG